rnacentral:lncRNA from 1 species
UUCUAUGAGACAGCUCCUCCACAAUCAACAAACUUAAUAUAGAUGAUAGGUGCCCUCAUAGGCCAUUAUCACUAACAUCUGUUUCCUUGUCCCUCAGAAAGAUUCCCUUUCCCCUUUUCCUGGUGGAGAUGUUGGUGGUCAAAGCCCUUCACAAGAUUACUAAGAAACAUCUAUAACUGGGAAUUCAAAAAAAUGUAAAUAGUUGGCCAGCUAAAGGGGUCAGAAACUUUUCACACAUGCACUGCCUACUUCUUAACUAUAUCAAUUAGGGUUAUCAAAUGUUUAUCAAUUUGAUGUUCUACCUACUUCCCAAGUCUGUAAACUAGGUCACUCAUCCCAUAUGAUGAUAAACUUGUUUCCCUUCUCAUCGUUCUUUUGUAGUGUACAUCCAAAUAACAAUUUUCAUGAUAAAGGUUAAUCCAAGAUCACAUAUGAAGUAUUGGAUCAUUUACAAAGGUAGUGUUUGGACACUUGCAACUGGGUCUAAGUGAACCCAUUUGCAAGAAGUGGCUUUUUUCCGCUGUUUGGGUGGGUGUAAAGUGGUGGGGCCCAUGUAUUUGGAGCUACAAUAGGGCCUCACUUGCUGCAAGAGGUCGUACGGCUGGUGUCAUAGGACAACGAUGCAGCAAGUGGCUUCCAUGCAUUAAAGGCUUCAUUGCGCAUCAGUUGGGUUUUACUCCAUGUUACCAUCCCCUCUAGUGGGGACCCUCUCUCCCUAUUUUCUCUCACGCUGGUCCAGCAGUCUAGCUUCCUUCAACCACCAUCCCCAUCCUCAGAGCUUCAUCGACCCCCUUCUACUACUCAAGGUUUGCUUCCUUAUCCUCUCAUCCCCUUUGCGCAUCCCUCUUCUCCUCCAUGCCUCUCUUCUUAUCCUUCUCUCGCCCUCUGGCUCUCCCUCCUCUCCUCCGGCCAAGCCUCUGUAGUACUUCUCCUUCCUUCCUCUAGGCCUAAAACCUUAAACCAAUUUCUACCUAAAUCUUGACCGCUCCCUUAUCCCUCUUCACCAAUCUCUAUGAUUUGGAGCUCAUCCAUGGCUGUCGAGUCCAUCUCUCGCUUGAUCCACUCAAGAUCGAACCCUAACACUAAUACCCAAUUUCAACCUAAACCCUAUCUUGAUUUCUACCAUUCUACGACCUAUUUGUCUUUGAUUUCUUCCUGUCUUUAUAGUUUUAUGCACCCAUUGGUGGCAACAUGCUUGAUCUGCAAUGGAUCAAGCAUGUACUGGCAUCUGUGGACCUAUAUGCUUAAUCUAUCCCAGAUUAGGCGGUUAGAGAUAUCUAUGUUGGCUGCAUGCUUGAUCCUGAAAUGAUGAUGGUGUUCACUGGUGCUUAUGGAACCUAUGUCCAUCUUGGUAUGUAGUGGUAUCAUUGGGUGCAAUAGUGGUGUGAGUUUAUUUCUUACCCUUUAAAAUGAUGGUGCUAAUGGUUUAGGAUGGGAUCUUCUGCAAUGGAGACGGGUGUUUGUUGUUGCAUUGAUAAUAUGUUGCCAUGAUUGUUGUGUAGAUAAACUUUGUAGCUGUCUACCAGUCAUUACUGAUACAUACAUCAGAAUAUUAUUGCCAUGAUUACUGACUAUAUGCAUUAGCAUUGAUUACAUUAACUUGUGCAGUUACAAAAUUAUGAUUGACUUGUCUAAUGCUUCAUUCUUUCAUUAGUGUAUCUGUUCCUUUAGUGGUACCUAUGGUAGUGGCCACAAUUAUGGUCAUUGUGCUGAUAGUUGUCUUCCUUGUUAUCCUAUUUUAAAUAGAGUCCUUGCAUUAUGAUACCGUUAUCAUUUGUUAUUUUGUCUAUCUGGCAGGUUAAUGUGACUUCCAUGGGUAUUCUACUGAUUAUGGCACACAUGUUAUGCCACUUGACUCUAAUUUUGCCAUGGAUGAUUCCUUGGCAAUUCUGUCCUAUAUACAAAUAACUUACCUUACUUUCUCGUAUUUAUUGCUGCUAUUAAUUUUGAUGUUGAGUUAUAUGUGGAUGGUUGAUUAGCAUAGGUGUUUUUGAGCCAUUUACUGAUCAUUUUGUUGUAGAGCUAUAUGUGACUGGUUGACCAUCGCAAGUAUUGUUGAGCUAUAUAAUUUUGUUGUUGAGCUAUUUCUCUCUUUUGGAACAUGUGAAUUGUAAUAUUGCAAUUUUGUUCUCCCAUGUAUCUUUUUCAAUUUCUCUCUUAGCCAUUUUUUCUUGCAACAACCCAUGCAUCUUCUUAAUUUUCCUAUAGCUCAUUUUCGUUUUCUUUUUAUUUUCAGCUCUAUGAUGAUCGUCCAGUUCCACAUGUGCUUGAGAGCUAUCACUGCAAUGUCCCAUUUUGGGUUUAUAUGAUGCCUCUGUUAUUCACUUCCUCUUUCUUUCUCAUAGUCUACCUUGGUUUUGAUAGCAAAAGGUGACUUGGCUUUCAACUACCAACUUUAUACUUUGUGUUCAGUGUACUGAAAGCAAUACGAUAUCUGAACUGUUUUCCACCUUCCUCUUCUUGUUAGAAAGUAGUAAUUGCAAAGGAAUGAGAUCAUCCACAAUUAUAUAAGUAAAAUAUAUGCCCUAUAGUUUAUCACAAUUAUAUAAGUAAAAUGUAUGCACGAUAGUUUAUCCUUCAAGUUAAGGCUGAGUCAGCAUUAAUAGUCAAGGUGGACCUUAGUUACCUAAAGCAUGCACAGCUGUGAGAGCUGAUCAGGGUGUGAUACAGGUAGAGGAAGUGUAUCUCUCCAAAAAAUUUUGAGAUAUGACACCCUAAAUGGAAGUUUGCUAAUACUAAAAGCUAGACCCACACAAAAACAACCAAUUGCCACCCUUGGUAGUUUUAUUGUAAAAUAGACACCUUAAAUAUUGACUGCAACAAGGCUGAUGAGAAGGUAUUGUAAUGUUGCAACCUUUCGAACACCAUAUAACUGGAAGGGAAAUUAAUUUGUAAGGCAAUCAUAAACCAGUUAAAAGGAUCAGAGUGAUGUAAAAGAUACAUAAGUAUAGGUUGGGAUAAAUAGAUUGGGACAUAUGUGCAGUCGUUUACACAGAAUCAAAAUGAAACAGUGAAAGAGGAUGACAUAGAAAAUCCACAGAAAAACAAGACGACAAACAUGAGUGCACCUUCUGACAUAUCUAUCUCUUUCAUGAGAAAGCAAUUAGAACAAGACCAUUUCUUUAGGCCAAUCCUCUUGUUUUCCUAGGUCCCCCUUACAAAGACCCCAAUAAUUCUUUCAAGCCAAACAACUGAAAAACCAAA